rnacentral:lncRNA from 12 species
UUGGCUGAGGUCACAAUCAUCCCCGGGAUUUUACACUGGGAUUGCAGCAACAGAAGGCAUAGAUUAUGUUGGAAGUGAGAUUUUCAUUGCUACUGAAAAUUUCUGCUUGGAAUCUGCAUAUCUCCUUCCUGCUUGCUGCUUUCAUAUUAACACCCUCUUCCUUUAUCCCAUUUCCUCAUUUCCUACCUCUGCAUGCAUGUGUGCACAGAACUCUUAAUGGACUUGUAUCCUCUCUAUUGCUUUUACCCCACUAUAUAUAUAUUUUUUUUUUACUCAAUCUAUCUUUUCUUCUGCCUGACUUCUCACAGAAUCGCAGUCUGCUGUUAGCAGUCCACAGGGGUUGCUGCUGAAUAAAUUGGAAUGCUGGUAGCUGUGCUCGCCGAAGCUUCUCUCAUCUUGAAUACGUGAGAAAGAGGGGAAGAGGAACCCUGUGGAUUUAAACAACAAAAAUAAAACCACUCCAACAGCAGAGGAUGAUGCCCUUAUCCUAGAGAAGUGUUUAUUAGGUUAAACCCUGUAUUUAGCAGCUAAGGAGGAAUAGUGCACUCUUUUCAUUCGCACAUUCAAUUUUUCCCUCAAAUGAAACAAGAUUAUUUUGUGUGGGAGGUGCCCCUUCUUUCAUGAGAGCAGGAAAA